AUGGCUCAGGAUGAACGCUAGCGGCAGGCUUAACACAUGCAAGUCGAGGGGCAUCGGGAGUAGCAAUACUUGCCGGCGACCGGCGCAAGGGUGCGUAACGCGUGAAGCAACAUGCCCGUAUCAGGGGGAUAAUCCAUGGAAACGUGGUCUAAUACCCCAUAGUAAUUAUGUAAGGCAUCUUAUAUAAUUUAAAGCUUUGGUGGAUACGGAUUGGCUCGCGUGACAUUAGCUGGAUGGUAAGGUAACGGCUUACCAUGGCUACGAUGUCUAGGGGUUCUGAGAGGAAGGUCCCCCACACUGGAACUGAGACACGGUCCAGACUCCUACGGGAGGCAGCAGUGAGGAAUAUUGGACAAUGGAUGGAAAUCUGAUCCAGCCAUGCCGCGUGCCAGGAAGACGGCCCUAUGGGUUGUAAACUGCUUUUGUAUGGGAGCAAUAAGGGCUACGUGUAGUCCGAUGAGAGUACCAUACGAAUAAGCACCGGCUAACUCCGUGCCAGCCGCAGC
rnacentral:rRNA from 1 species